AAAUAUAUUUCGUAACGGAGUUAAGCCUAUUAGCUCCUGUUGAGAUGGUAAUUUUUGAGCGCUUUCUUCCUACUAAAAAAGUUGAAGAAUCUUAACCAGAUUUGUCUAGCUUGUUUAUUUCAUGAGACUUCUCAGCUAAUAAAUUUAUCAAACUAGUAACAAUAUAGUAUAAUAAAAGAAUGAUUAUCCAACUUUACACGUCUCUCUUGAGAAAUCCACAGUAGAGCACUCUAGUACUUUCACUCUUAUAUAGUUUAAAAAGAUUAUCGUUUUUAAGUCAGAGAAAGAGAGUUAACGAGCCAGAUGGAACAAAGUGGAACUAGGGGCAUUCGUCGGUCGGUACGGUAUUUAAAUACUUCAGUUCGGUAUUCAAUUUUUUAAAAUAUUAUACCAAUACCGUACCUAAUUAAAUUCGGUAUGGUUCGAUUUUUCUCCUUUCGGUUUCAGUUUAUUCGGUUUGAAUACUAACAAGUGCAUAAAGUCAUAGAUUAUAAUAUUCUUAAUUAAAGUACUCAAAAGUACAAAACUAAAAACGUUUAUUGACAAAAGUUUUGUUUAAAACCAGCAAAUAUCAACCUAAAGAGAGAAAACUGCACAUAAAGAAAUAAAUUUGAUCAUUAGAAAUGUUUCUUAUUUGCUUAGAGUUAAUUGAUGAACUUAGAGAAUAAAAGAAAGUAAAAUUUUAGUUUUUUUAUAUUUAUGUUAUAAUUAAUAAUAUGUGUUUUGUGUAAUAUAAUAUAUAUUUCGGUACGAUAUCGGUAUUUCGGUAUUUCAUUAUAAAAUACCAAAUAUCAUACCUAAUACCAUAUUUUUUUUAAAACUUAAAUCAAAUACCAUACCGAAUACCAAAAUAUCGAAUACCAAAUACCAAAAAUUUUGGUUUCGGUACGGUAAUUCAAUAUUUGCCAAAUUAUGCUUAGCCAAUGCUUUGUGCAUCGUAUGCGGUUUCCAGGAAAGCAAACAGUUAGAAAUUUGGGACAAAAUGCAUUGCAUUUGAUGAAACCACAAAUAAAGGUGAAUAUCCCUGUACACACUUGAUCCCUAAAGGAAAAGGGGAAGUAAACUCGGAAAUCUACUACUACUACUACUACUGUAUUUUUAAUACAAGUUACAAGUAAUUUUCUCCGUGCAUGGUAUCAACGGUACAUUUUUUCACCUUUCAGUUACGUUGUGUCCUGCCUCUCCUACCACCAAAACGGCCACCGCCCCUGUGAUUCCCUCUCCGACCACCACCAGAAUGAGUGCCUUGAUUGAAGUUAGGAGAGCCAUUAAUAUAAGCGCCUGGACCUGCAGCAUUUGGUUGUGAAUUGUUGUUCUGUACCAUUUGUGGUCCAUUCACUGGUACCUGACCUCCCAAAAUCAAUGGCGUAGGAGUCAUUUGACCCAUUGACAGUUGUGGUUGAUUAAAAACAUUUUGUCCUAACGCAGGCCAAGGUAGAAAUGAUGGCCCCGCACCAAAAUUUGGUUGCCCGCCUGGGAAGAUAAAGGGAGAUGGAUGAGUUGGAUUCAUUUGCUGCUCAAAAGGUACUGCAUUCGGCGAAGGCAUUGGAAACAUUUGCUGUUGAUGAAUCUGUUGUGGCCAUGGCAUGCCAAUAGUCGGCAGUGCAUUAGGAAAGCUCAUAUUCUGUGGCUGCUGAUAUGGGAUUCCAUUUGUCCAAACUCCAGUCGACGGUGCAGCUUGACCAGGGGCUUUUUCCAUAGGAGGGAAUAGAGAGACGGACGGAGGCCUACUACUCUGUCCAUGUCCAUGAAACGAGGAGUUUGGAUAAACGCCUUGAUCCAGCGAACCAGCAGCAGUUGAGAUAAAAUGUUGACUUUGGUCGAAUGGUGGCCUAGCAUUUUCACGUUGCACAUCUGCGGCCGCAGAUUCAUUGUGUUUCCAGUUCUGAGAUUUAUUUUUGGGUUUCCUUUUGUCCUUGUUGUUUCCUGGUUUCUGGUCAUUUGUGGCACCCCUCUUUUUCAUUUUCAGCAUUCUCUUGUACUCAGCCUCCUUCUCAUCAUCUGAAAAUUCUUCGGCCUCUGACACCUCUUCAUCAUUUUCACCAGAUGCAUCAUACCCUUUCUUGUAAAGACUGUUGUCAUUUAGGACGAGUUCGGAAAAUUCAGGGACAAAAGAGAUCAAGGUGCCCGGGUUGAUUCCAGUUGGGACUUCGUUAUCAGAAUUGUAUCUUACAAUGUAGUACGGGUUCUUGACAGGCCCAAAAAUUUCAUCCACUAUACCUAGUGGAGAUCUGCUUUCUGUUAUCCAGAGAAUAGAACCGUCGUAAAGAGGAGUAUGCUUCUCCACCCCUUCUACUACAACUUGGGCUCCAAUGAUCUGUCAACCCAUAUAUAGAUAAUAAAGUUGAAUAAAACAGAAGCAAAAAACUAAAGAUCAGAUUGCGUUGUUUGCUUUUUAGCUUUUUAGUCUUACCGAUGAUACAACUCCUACAGGCAGCAUCUGGUGAUGUGGUUGUAAGGUUACAGUCACUGCCGGAACUGGGGGUAGAGCCUGCAAUAGCAAGAAGACUGAAUAUUGUGCAUGUUGAAAUAAAACACGAAACGCAAAUCCAUAACAUCACUUCUCACCAUAGAGUAAUACAACAGAGUUCAAGUAACAGCAUAAAAUGUUAGCUAAGCAACCAGAUCAUUAAAAUGAAGUUGGCUUGAAUGCAAGUCAGAGUUCCAUGAAGAGAAGAAACUUGAUUUGUUUGUUACAUUUUCUGAAAUGUCGAUUAAUCUCAAACUGGGAUUGAUCAAGAUGUCCUUCUAACGAUAAGUUGACAAGCAUAAAGCAGAAACAAGACCGUCUUUUUUCUUCUUCAAAACUAAGUUCUUCCAUUCUCUAAACUAGUUUACAUUUUCUCAGUCUUCCAAAAAUCAAACCAGACUCGUGAAAAUUGGAGGUGGAGUUUAAACCAGAAAAAUAUAAAAUACUGAACAAGUUGAAGUACGAGACAACAUUCUAUAUAGAUAACCUCACAACAACAAUUUAUUUUUGAGCUUAAGCUGGAUUCUUUUUUUACACCUAAUCCAUAAUGAAUAUUGCCACUUCCCUACCGACAUUGUUUCUCCUGUAGUAUAAGGCUUUCACGACAAGUUUGAGGCAUCGCUUAUUGUUUCCCAACCCAGUUCUACUAAAGAUAUUUUGUGCUGUAAGCACUUUUCUUUUCACAUAAUAAUUACCUGAUUAGCUCUUCUAUUAUCCUUAGUUCCUUAGUUCUACUAAAGAUAUUUUGUGCUGUAAGCACUUUUCUUUUCACAUAAUAAUUACCUGAUUAGCUCUUCUAUUAUCCUUAGUUCCUUGCAAAUACAGAAACAUGCUCGUGUAGUCAUGUUCACAUCAACCAUAUCAAACCGUGGAUCAUGCUGAAAGGAAGACCUAUUUCGAUGAUAACCCCUGGAGGUCAGCCAAAACUUAUUUUUCUUUAUAGAGAACGAAAAUGAUAAAAAAAAAUGUAAUGGCGUUUGGAGGCGAAUUUGUGAAUGAAAGAGUCAAAGUGGGUAGCUUCUAGAAAGCAAAAAUUGGCUCAAAUAGAGGAACAAAGAUUACUUUCAGAAGGAAAAAAACCCACUUAGAACUGCAACAAAUCCGUACUAUGAUGCCAUUUUUCCUUUGCUGUUUAAGGCUUUAGAUUGGUAGGGCACCCCACAGAAAACCUGUAGGUAUUUCAGAGCUAUUCUUCUAAAGCUCUCCCCUAUUUAGCAAACCAAAGCCCGAAUUUGAAUUCCAACAAUUUUAAAAAAAAAAUUAAGAGACGUCAUUAUAGGAAAAUGAAGAAGAACCGAUCUGAAUUUUUUGGAACGACAAUCAGGAUAAUUACGGUGUUAGCUUUGCGUCAGCCAAAACUUACUUUCAAGUGUUCGCCACUUUAUCUAUGGGUAUGACCAAUAACCAGGACUUUGGAUCCAUAAUCAGGGAGAUAGAUGAACUCCACAUCCCAGUAAGUUCCGGUGUUACAUAUUUAGACUACGCAUACGCUAAUACAAAAUGAAUAUCAAGUUAUCAAUCAAAUGCUAUCAGAUUUGCAAUUUUAGAUAUAUACAGAAGUCAGCAAUUCUGGCUUCAAGUCUAUAACAAUGAUCAAAGAUUUGGGUUCCAGAAUUGGCUAUACUAAGGGCAGUCAUCUUUUACUCGAAAAAGCCUGUUCAUCUUUCAUUGACAUGGUUGCUCUUCAAAUAAAUAAUGUAUAAUUGCCUAUUUUAAUAUUCAUGCUUUACCGGCAUCUAUUAGAGCAUCAUCUCUUGUAGAAGUUCAAAUUCAAAGGGGUGCCUUUUCUUUACUAUUUAGCAGAAAUUUAGACAUUUUUCCAUUACAUUCCAUAAGGCACAGAAGCAUCAAGCACUUAGAAGUAUCGUUUCAAUAGCAAAUCAGAUGCAUUAGCAACUACCUAUGAAAUGAUAAAUUAUUACCUGAACCUCAUUCUUAGACCUGAUCGGCCCCUUAACACCAGUGUCAUCAUCUUCAUUCCAAGCAACCAUCUCAUCGGGAUCAGACACUUGAAUCUCACCUUCUUCCAUAUCCACCUCCCCUUCUUCUUCCUCGCUCGAGCUACUCUCGCCAUCACUACUAGAGGCUGAAGAAGAGGCUGAGCUCUCACUUUCAGACUCGGUAUCACUACUACUCCCGUCUUCACCCCCUUUUAACUUGUCACCAUUCAUUGUACUUCCAUUAACACGUGUCUCAUCAACACUUCUUUCCUCAGUCCUACUACUGAUGGCAACUUCAUCACUCUCCUCAUUCUUGCUAACGACAGCCGCCACACUAUCACUGACAAUGCUACAAUUGCCAAUAUCAGCUUCAGCAAUAUUCACCCUAUUGCCAUCUUGGUCAACAAUUCUUUCAUCCUCUGUCGCAUUUAUACUAACUUUCCCAAUCCCUUCCUCAACUAUACAACCCAAGUUCCCCACUUCUACGCAUUCACUCUUUUCCACCUUCAAACAACUCAAAGAAUCCAACUUUACAGAAACCUCCUUUUGAAUUUCAGAUUUUUCAGAAAUUUCACAGGUACCCAAUUCAUUAUUCUUAUCCAUAGUGCUAAACUCAACUUGUUCAGAACCAAACUCAGCUGCUUCUUGUUUAACUUCAGCCAUAGAGCUAUCCAAGAUUAAAUCUUUGAUUGAAUCAAAAUCAGCAGAAGUCAAAAAAGAGUCGUCAAAAUCAGGAACAGAUAGGCUAAAGGGGUCGUUUUGUUUGUUAAGCUCUGAAAAGGGUUGAAUUUUUUCUUCUUCUUCAACCUCUUCACUUGUGGGAUUGUAUAUAAAACCCACCAUGUUCAAGUAACGAAAUUUGGAUUUUCAAAAUCUUUGACAUGGUUGCUGUAAUAGGAAAGAUACUGACUUUUAUAAACGUAUCCAAAGAGUGAUGUGCGGAUUUUGAGGCUUUUGUUGAGCAAGCGAAAGCAUCUUAAACCCUAGGGUUUAACAGAGUAAUUUAGAAGGUCUAAGAAAUUGGAAAAAACGAAAAGGGAAAUCAACCGGGCUAGGGUUUGGGCUUGUAAGCUCUUCGAUUAUGGGCCUUUUUCUUCAUUUGUCCAUUCUCAACAAGGCAACUUUAGGAGAGGGACCAGCCCAACUAGCCCAAUACGUGGAUCCAUGAUUUUAUGGUUGACCAAAAUAGUCACUCAUCCAACCGCUAAAACUAACUAAAAAUAGCCCAAAAAAUAUAUAUAAAUAUGUAUAAUCUAUGUGUAAUACGCGUAUAAUUAUGUAUAAUUUAUGUAUAUCAAUUAAAAAAAACAAUGAAUGCAGUCGGCUAUUUAUGUAAAGGAAAGAUAGUCGAAAAGCAUAUGAAAAUAGUGAGGGAAUAUCUUAUAUAAAAAUACAGACAAACAAAAGAAAUAAAUAUCACAAAGGUCUUAUAUAAUUAUCCUAAAUUACUGAAGGGGGAGGUUACAAUCAGAGUUUGGUAAGGACGACGAAUUAUUAGCAAAAAUUAAUAAAAAUAAUUAGACCACUCUAGUACAUUGAGGGAAUGGAUUCGCACUAAAGUUAUCUUUGGAUCCUAAUUUGUUUAGAAAGAUCAUUUGAGAGACAGUAAAGGGUACUGAUGGUGUAUGGUAGAGACAAAGUCACAUUAUAGUAUGGAGUAGAUUGAAUUUUUGAAAUAUUUAAGUGGUCCUAAGUGUAAUAAACCCUUAUGCCAUUUUAUCAACAUGUUCGUGUUGAGAGAUUAAGAUUGCAUUAAUUAGUUGAAAAUGACAUGUGCGAUCAAUUAUAGUCCCAUGAUUUAGGAAGGGGACUCAAGCACUAGCUAGUUUCUUAGUUAUCUUUGUGGAGGAAAUAAUCCCUACUUCUUUUAAGUAAUGGAGUGCUUAAACUAAAAUGUCAUUAACACCUACCAAACUAAAUAAAAUUGAAUAUCAUCAACACCUAAGGUUUAGGAACAUACUGCUCUUGUUUGAAUUGUCAAGUGUUGUUUUGUACAAUAUCGAUUAUCGUGUGUCUGAAAAGUCAAGCUAGCAAUUACAUAACAGUUAGGCCAAAAUGUAGGCUCAAUUAUACUCUCAUAAUGAAGCAACAUUUUCUAUAAGUUGUGGGUUCGGAUGAUCACCAAUGAUUUCAGAAGAAGGAUUUUCAAAAAAAAAAACGUUGAAAAGCAGAAUCUUUUGGAUGAAAAAGUGCCUUGAAGUUGAGGCAAUUUUUGAAUAUCAUAGCUCACAUCACAAUCUUAACCUACAACUAUAUAAAUAGUAUUUCAAUUUGCACAAUUGUUUUCUCCAUUUUUAUAAAACUUUAAUGUUAUAUACACUACUAUUGUAAAAUAUUAUAAAAAUUGUACAGGGCGCCCUAUUUGGUCGCUCUCAUUUAACCUAUACCCAUAUUUUUAAAAUUCUUUAACUUAUAUCCUAAUUUUGACAACUUCAGACGCCUCCUCUUCUUCCUCCUCACCUAUGCGCUCCUUUCUUCCUCCUCUUCUUUUUUUUUUCUUUUCUCUCUCAAAUACAUGAGACUUUGUAUAAGUAUUAUUGAUUGGAUCUGUAAAGUUUUUAUUAAAUCUUAUCAACUACCAUAUUCUAUGUUGAAGGACAAGUAAAUAAAACUCCACAAGCUGGUUAAAGUAGGUGUGAUUUGUGUCUUUCCCUGGUCCAUCCUUCUUAAACAUACAACAACAACUUACUACUACAUGUCCUCUCUUCCAAGUUACCUGCCACAAGAAUGGUACAUGCAUGUAAAAUUUAUUAUACACAAUAGUUGUUCUUGCGAUCUCUUGGAAUUAGCUUACCCCUUGCUUUAUGAUAUUAUCUGCAGGAAAAACGACAGAAAAGGGUUGCAGAACUGAAAAAUAAAAGAUAGGAAAAAUAAUUUCAGAACAUUAUCAAAAAAAUCAGUUAAAACUUCAGCACAAUUUGGCUUAAGUUAUAUUUUAAAGCCAUCUAACUUCAAAGAAAGGCAGAACACAACUUCAGUUCUAAGACUGCUGAAAUUUAGCAAAUAUAAAAUAAAAACUUCAGCUUCUAGAAUGCUCAAGUUCACCAAAUACAAAACAAAACUUCAGCUCCUAGAAUGCUGAAGUUCAGCAAUUACAAAACAAAACUCCAGCUCCUAGAAUGCUGAAGUUCAACAAUUACAAAAUAAAAUUUCAGCUCCUAGAAUGCUGAAGUUCAGCAAUUAUAAAACAAAAUUUCAAUUCCUAGAAUGUUAAAGUUCAGUAAUUACAAAACAAAAACUUCAGCCAAAAUAUGUUAUAGUUUUAUUGAACUGAAGUUUGUCAUUGCACUAUGAACUGAAGUUUGCGUGAUUGCCUUUGCAAGUCAGGCCAAAUUUCAGGCAAAAAUAUCUGAAAUUUUGCUUUGAUAAGGCUACACUUCAGGUAAAACAUUCCGAAGUUCAAACUUCAGACAUAAAUUUUUGCUACUUUAGGCUCGUAUGUCGGAAGUUACCCGAAAAGUGAGUACGCUUGCAAUAUUUUUUGCAAAGUGGGUAUAAGUUAAAAUGUGACCCAAAAACUAAGUAUAGAUGCAAAUCUCCCUAAAAUAUUCGUACAAUCAUAUUAGUAUGUAUAAGCAUUAAUUAGAAAUAACAUAAGUGUGAUAACUAACUUAUCAGAUAUAAGAGAUUAAACUACACGGACAAUGCAAAUACGCAAUCAGAAUAUAUAGUUUAAAUCUUUUUUGUAAAUAUAUAGUUUUUUCACACGGCAUAAUGUACAACAAAAUUCUGAUUACACAGGAAACAGUGUGCUUUGAACCAAUCAUAGCCACAGUUACGUUGGAUCACAGUCCACAGAAUACAGUUAAAUGACAGUGGAGAGUAGACAAGUUGGUAUUUUAGAGUGAAUUAAUUUGUUGACUAAAAGCUCUUUUUUAAUCUCCUUUGGUCCAGUUCUUAUGAAGCCUUUAAAUGCCCACCGUGUUUCUUCCUCUUAUGUAUUUAUUUAUUACUCUUCUUUGUUUGGCAUGAGAAGAUCCAUCAUUUUAUAUCUCACACAGGAAAUAUAUAAAUUUUAUAUUAUACAUAACAAAGUCAAAACACUCUACACGUAAUUGGUUGCAUGUAAUAAUUGAAGAAAAAUGGCAACCCACACUCCACAAUCAUCUCACAGGAUAUAUAACAGGUCUGCCAAAAAGUUAAAAAAUAAAUAAAAUAAAGGGUCGAUUGUAAAUGAAGGAAAGGUCAAGGAAAACUACAGAAUAACAUCAUCAAAAUAUCAUAAUUCCUUUCUUAAUUAUGUGUUAUUUCUACACUAACUAACUCUUUAUAUACGAUAUAGAGUCUCCACUUUAUGUGUAUUUUUUAAAAAAAGGUCUCCGCUUCAUGUUGAAAACUCAUUCAAAUAGCUAUAGCAUGAGUGUUGAAAGACUUCAAUUCGAUUAUAUCGUUACAUUUUUUGGUUCCUGCUUAGGGCCAGAGGCGGAUUCAAAAUUUAAAGGUUGCGGGUGCCACUAUUUUAUACAUAUAAUAUACCUACUAUUGGUCGAUUCGGUUAGUGUUUGAUUAAUUCGAAUUAGGUCUUUCACUCAUAAAGUAAAUUCAAAUAUAUUAUAAAAAAAUUACAAAUAAAAUUUUAUGAAAGAGCGCCUCUAACUAAAAAAUUUGCUUAAAGAGUAGUUUAAUUACUACAUAUUCUUAGUUUGACUAAAUUAAUUUACCUUUAUUAUUCUUGAGUUAAUAUUUUCAUAUUAAUUGUCAUGUUAUAAGACAAUUAUUUUCAAAGAAAAACCUUUAACGUUUAAUCUAUGAUAAUAAACUCAAAACAACUAUUGAUCAAGUCAGUUUAUUUUUUUUUAAAUCCAAUAAAAAAUAUUGUUCAAAUUAUACUCCAAUAUAUAAAUUAAUUUCGUGUCAUUAAGAAGAGAGAUUAUAUGUUAAAGUAAAAUCAAUCUAAAUUGCCUAUCAAAAAAAGUUGCUAACGAACUAAGGUAUGAUGAUAGAAAUAGAGAGUUGUAUAAAGAAAUUUAAAAAAUGAAGAAGACAUAUUAGAAAAUAAAAAGGAAGAAAGGGAGGACAAGAAAGUGAAGGAAAAAAAGGAAGAAGAGGUGGGCCCUAGAGCUAAAUAAACUAAGAAUAAACAAAUCUUAAUAAGUAGAAUAAAAGGUAAAAGCAAAGAUGAGGCUAUAGUAGGAUUGGAACUCUUAUCCAUGAGGCUAGUGGCACCCGAAACUACUUAGUAAUUUCUGAGUGCUACUCUACUAAUAUAAUCGUUUUCUCACAGCUAUCUUACACACAUACACAUAGUAAAACUUUUACGGAAGCGAACGGGUGUCGUGGCACCCAUAGCUCAUAAGGUAGAUCCGCCCCUGCUUAGGGCCAGCGUUCACUUCGGUUUCACUUUCGUAUCAGAAACGUCCACUUGCAGUUGAAAUAUCAUAUUUAACUUUUCAACAAUUCAUAGGCUCAUUUGAAAUAUAAACUACAGAUUAUUGGCAAGAUUGGAAUUUUCAAUGAUAUAUAUACAAUGACAUAUAAUCGUUUUCUAUAUAAUAGAUUUCAUGAAUGGAGUUGAUAAAUUGUCAUCCACAUGUACGUUGGAGAAAUAAAGAUUUCAUUAAGUUGAAAAAGACUUAAUGAUCAAUUAUAAUGACAUGAUAUGGAAAAAGGACUUGCACUCAUUUACGAAAUAUUAAUUGAAUUUGUACACCACACACUGUAUUAGGAUGUCCACACUUUCCUAUUUUGAAGGAUGAGGUGUAAUUUAAUUUGGCCCUACGUGAAAGUGAUCUAAAGUACAUGGACUCCUUAAAAUAGAAAAUUUUCAAUAUUAAUAAUAGUUUAUUAGCAAGAGACUAUACUUGAUGGAAACUAAUAUCGUCACUUGUCAAGUGUUGUUUGGCCUGAAAAGGCAAAUAAUCAGACAAUGGUUUGGUCUUAGGUUCAAUUAUAUUGUCAUUAUGAAGCCAAAAUUUUCUGUUGGAGAAAUGGGGGUUGGGGUUAUUACCAUUAAUUAAAUAUUACUUAUAACACCUUUUAAAAAAUCUUCAUGAUUACUUACCAAUAUAAUGACUGCUUUGAAUUAACCCAUUCAAGAUUUACUUCAGAUCAUAGUCCACUGAAUGCAGUUAUUGAUAUUGGUUCGAUCAGAGGAUACUUAAAUAUUAGAACAGUGGACAUGUUGAGAUUUAUAAAGGAACUUGUUGACUAUAUAGAAAGUUAGAAGCUCCUACUUUUAAUUUAUUCUUCUUUUUUAACAUGAUCAGAGAUAGCUGACACAGAAGAUAUAAAUAUUUUAUACACAAAAUCAAAACACUCUUCACGCGGAUGAACUGCAUGUAGCAUAGAGAAAGAUGGCAACCCAUCACUCCAUACUAAUCACAUUCACGAUUGCUGACCCAAAAUUUGAAGUUUAUGAGUUUUGAACUUACCACUCAAUUCAUACACUUAUUUUAGUUAUUGAGUUCACAAUUAAAUAUUUAUACAUAUUUAAUAAAUUUUAUGAUACAAAUAGAGGGUCUAAGCAAAUAGUGGACUAGAAUUCUCAAUGAAGGCAAAGGUAUAAAACUUAAUCAAGAUGACACAAAUUGAUUAGUUAUAACUAUAAUUUAGACAAAUAUUAAAAAAUUACAUCCAGCUCUAAAAUAUAUCCUUUAUUAUAUAUGUGGUUGAUAAAUGCUUAUUCUAUAUCGUGUAAUUAUAUUUGGAAACUAAUUAGUAGCAAUAUUAGUAUUAAACUGUAACGACCCGACCAAUCGUUUUGAGCUCUAGCAUAUUGUUUGGCGGUUUGACACCUUGAGUAGCUGCACUUCAUAUUUUAUGACUUGUACGCGUAGUCGGAAUUGAAUUUCGGGAAGUUCACGGUUGAUUCGGAAGAAAAAUUCUCAAUUCGAAAGCUUUAAGUUGGAAGAGUUGACCAAGGUUUGACUUUUGAUUAAACGAUCACGGAAUCGGGAUUUGAAGGUUCCAAAAGGUUCGUAUGAUGAUUUGGACUUAGACGUAUGUUCGGGUUGAGUAUCAUGUGGUCCGGGAGCAUUUCAGCGCUUAUUGUAGAAAGUUGGCAUUUUGAUGGUUUUUAGAAUUUCUUAAGUUUGGUUUGAAGAGGACUUUGGUGUUAUCGAUAUCCAUUUGAGAUUUCGAGCUAUGGAAUAGGUUCGUAUUUUAAUUGUGACUUGUAUGUAAAGUUUGGCGUCAUUCCGGAAUGUCUAGAUAUGGUUCGAACACGUUCGUCGAAGUUUGAAUGUUUGAAAGUUGAAAGAAUGAUUUUAUCAUCGAUUCAUAGUUUUGACGUUGUUUGAUGUGAUUUGAGACUUCGACUAAGUACGUAUCAUAUUUUAGAAUGCGUUGGUAUGGUUGGGUGGGGUCCCAGGGGCCUCGGGUGUAUUUCGGACGUGUAUGAGUUGUGUCACGCUCUUAUUUGAUGUUUCAGUAUCGUUUUUCUGGGCAUAAAGGGUACUAUAUUGAGAAAACGACCUUUGAUUUAUCAUUAGGUUGAACCAUUGGACCCGUAUCAUAAUUACGGAAUCAUAGCAAUAAGAAUCGUCGAAUUCCGAGGUCGGAUGAGAGAGUUAUGCCCAUUUCCGUGUCGGAAAAGAUUGUUAGUUUCUAGUGCUAACUUUUGUUCUUCGCGAAUGCGAAGAAGGAUUUAUGGGUUGAUCGUCAAUGCGAAAAUUCUCUUCGCGAACGCGAAGGUGAUGAAAAAAAAUCAUCUGCGCAGUGUUUUAAACCGAGCAUAUUAGUAUUUUGAGCAUAUCUUGAGUUCUAAAGCUCCAUUUGAGGUGAUUUUCGUGGCAUUGUUCUCGUCUCAAUAAGGGGGUAAAUAUCUUCCCUUUAUGUUAAUAUUUUUUCAUGAUUAUUUUCGUUGAUUAUUAUUUUUAUUCGUGUUUGGAUGGUAGAAAUUGGGGUUUUGAGCCCCAAAGUUGCAAUUGAGAAAUGGUAAAUCCUUAAUUUCAGGGUCAAUUCGUGGAUAAAAUUAGAUUAUUUUUUGGAUAUAUACUAUAUAAGUUAAGAGUAAUAUUUAUUUUUGAUAUUAUUUAGAAUCCGGGCACGUGGGCCCGGGCGUUGGCCUUGUUGACUUUUCGCGCAGAGUUGGGAAUUGUUACGAAUUGUUAAAUUACGAGUAUUGGAGUAUAUUUUGAUUGGUUUGCACGUUGUUUGAUUCGUUUAGGAUCGUUUGCCAUCGGUUUGAGGAGUUAGAGAGGCAUUGGAGUUGGUUAAUAGAUUUCAGAGCGAGGUAAGUCUCCUGUCUAGCCUUGUAAGGGAAAAUUUACCCUGUAGGUAUUAUACUUGCUAUGUGCUUCAUGUUGUGGGGGAUACACACGUAUGAGGUGACGAUUGUCCGUGCGUAUGCUAGAAUUCAUGAUUAGGUUCGGGUAGACUUAGACUUACGCCAUGCUUUAAUUAUAAUAUUUGAGUUAUUCCUGAAUGUUUAAUUGCUUUAAUUUGCAUUUAGCCUGAGACUAGACUCGCGUAGAAUAUCAGACUUGAUAUUUUAGAUAUUUGACGAGCUACUUGAUUAGCCGUGAAAAAUUGUGCUUCCCUUACGAAUUUCAUCCGCGCUGUGCAUAUUCAUCGAAAAGUUUCCUUAAAUUUCAUAACUCACACAUAUAUUCGUGAGUGGGGUCAAGGACCCGUUAAAACUUCUUAUUCUAAUGGGAUCGGGUCGUUCGCCUCGGCGGGAUUAUUGUAAUACACUCUUAUGGGAUCGAAUCGUUCACCUCAGCAAGAUUAUGAUAUUUCACUCUUAUGGGAUCGGGCCAUUCGCCUCGGCAAUUCUAUGAAAUACUCCUAUGGGAUCGGGUCGCUCGCCUCGGCAGAAUCGUGUGAAAUACUUGAUAAAGAGUCCGCGUACUCAUAAGUUUUCCUGACUUGAGAUGGGACAGUUGACUUGGUGUUUACCAUUACGUAUUCUAUUUGAGGAGGUAUCCAGUGUUUGAAGACUUUAUGUUUACUGUUUAGCCGUAGACCGUAUUAUUUUCCUAUAUUUGUUCUCAUUGUUUACUUACCAUAUUUCAUACUUGUCUACUUUAUUAUGUUUGAUUUAUUGGACCACUAGUAAGUAUCAAUAUCGACCCCUCGUCACUACUUCUUUGGGGUUAGGCUAGAUACUUACUGGAUAUACGUUGAUUUACGUACUCAUGAUAUACUUCUGCACUAAAUGUGCAGGAUGUAACAGGAUCAUUUAGUGGUCAUCUUGGCGCAUAGGUGCAACUAUUGAAGGGACUUUAUGGUGAGUUGCUUUCUAUGCUACGUACCGCAAUCCACAGAGUCUCCAUUAUAUUUAUUUACUUUAUCUUGUCCAUUUUACACUCCAGACAGAUGUUGUACUAUAAUUGUACUCCUUAGAAAACGUUCAUGUACUUGUGACACCGGGUUUUGGGAUAUUCUAGUUAAUGUUUAUCGAUUUCCAUAUUAUCAUAUUUUAUUUUCAUAUCUUGCUAACUAUUUAUGUACCUAUAAUUUUAAUGUGUAAAUCCAUUUACUUAAUAAAACUUAUGAUUUCAAAGUAAUAUAAUGAAUAAUUAUUUAGAUGGUUUACCGUUAGUUUGCCUAACAACGACGUUGGGCGCCAUCACGACCUAUAGUGGGUUUUGGGUCGUGACAGCUUGGUAUCAGAGCGCUAGGUUCACUUAGGUCUCACGAGUGAUGAGAAAGUCGAGUAGAGUCUUGCAAAUCGGUACGGAGACAUCUGUACUUAUCUUCGAGAGGCUACAGGGUUGUUAGGAUAACUUCCCUUAUUGAUUCCUCGUCGUGCGGUUUGAUUCCAUUGAAGCUUAUGCCUUCAUUUCCUUUCUACUCAUUCUUAUAUGAUGUUGAGCGCUUGUUAUAAAUUGGGCAUCGAGGAGUUGUAGUGGUACUGUAGAUAUGGUAUAUGAUAUUUCUCCAUGCGUAUUUGAGGAUGCUCUGUCGUUUCAGCCCAAUGCUAGUGUUGCCUAUGGUUUCGAGGCUAUCCACAGUGUAUUAUAAGGUUCAUGUGUUGUUAUCGCACAGUGUUGGUAUAAAUUAUAGGGUGCUUAUUUAUGUGUCACGGCAGUGAAUGACUCGAAAGGAGGAUUUCUCGGUUCAUGGUUUAGAUGUUCGACAUUUAAUUCCAGCGAAGGAAAGGCAAUUGGACUAUGGAUGAUGAGGCAUUGGUUGACGGAGUAGCAAGACUUGAUAUUUUCAAACUUGGUAGCAUUCUCAUUUGUGAUGUGGUGUCGUCGUCCUUGUAGGAACGCAUUAAGGCUCAUCGGUGUUAUGGUCUCCUUUGAUUUAUCUUCAGGGCAGGAAGUUGUGGAAUGGUGCCUAAGAAGAAGUUAUCAAAGAUGGAUAUGUAUUGCGACUUCAGGAUCGAAUCGGCGUUUCCAGUGUUGAUGGUUCAAGGGAGAUGAUCCCUGAGGUGUUUUCUGUACUUAAGAAGUUCGAAUGUGACGAGAAGGGGCUUGAUCGAAAUGUAGGAAAAUGUGAAUAUUUGAUCGUCAUUAUGGGAUGUAGUAUGGCCCUGAGUUUUAAACAUAUUAUUGGACCUCCAUUGAUGCUAAUGGGGUGAACGGACUUUUGUAGUUGGCGGAUGAAUGUGGACCUAGGAGAAUCAACUGAUUUCAUAAUGGAUGUGGUUAUGGCUAUGUAGCUUGAGGAUGUCGGUAUGAGGUUACACAUGCGGGCUAUCUCCUGUGAGAAGGUUAGGGGUUGCAUGACUCCUAAUGAAUUCCUAUAAAGAGUUUUGCCUUCUAUACAAUAUAAUUCAUGUAUUGCGAUGUGAUCAUCGCUUGAAAAAGAUGGUACAACUGUUAGGAGGCCGAGUGUGCGAUUAUGGAUGAUAAUUCGGGAUGUGUUAUGUUUAGUACAACCAAGAACUUAUGAGAAAUUUGGUUGAGCAACGGUGUGAGAUCAUGGUAACUAAGGGGGAGGAGUCAUUGUGGGUUCUGGAUUUAUGUAAUUAUGGCUUAAAGCUAAGUGGGGGAGCCUACCAUCUAUGAUUGGGUCACAUGGUUAUGUGCCUUGCAGUUUCGGGCUAUCGGUACAUUGGUGGCUUAGUUAUCACUAAGGGAAGAAAACAUCAAGGUAAUUCGGGCAUAGGACUUGAUGAAUGCGUGCUACAUUUCGCCUUAUCAAUUCAUGUAUAGAUUUUGGGAUGACUCAAAGUUUAUGCCUCUUGUGGAUAUGAUGUACAAGGAAAAGAAUUCGUCUGGUUGAUUCUUUGGGAGUAAUUAUGUGCUAACAAAGCACUAGAGUUUGCUUAUAUUCGGGACCAGGUCAGAGCGGGUGACUCACAAUAAUGGUUCUAGUGGAUUCAAUAUUUUAGGUGCGGUGCUUAAGGAUUUUUAGGUUUGUUAUGUAGCUGAGGAUUGGGUUAGGGAGUAAAGUGUGAAGGGUACUUGGAGUAUUUCUAUGUUAUCAAUGGGUCUGCAGUGCAAUUUUAGAAAAAAAUGGGAGAAACAACUUCAGAUUCACAAAAGAUCUAAUCAGCUCAUGUGUAUCAGUUAGAGUUACUAUAGACCACAUGCGGAGGAUAUGAAAUGGCUUAUGGGCAUUGACACAACAUGGUCUCGUGAUUUGGUUCACUCGGGAUGAGUGUUAUUGGAGGUCCGUAAUUUCUAAGGCAAGUCAAGAGAAAAUUGGAAGAGGUUGAGUGAGUUAGUCAUGGUUUGAAUCAGCAUAGUUGGGGAAAUAAUCAGUUCCUUCAGUGUGAUAAGGCUAUACAGGUAAUUCGUGGUUGUACGUGCGGGAUUGACAACUAUCGUGAUUUGAUUGAUUUGGAGGUAUUUGAUCCUGAUGGCUUGGUUAUAUGUAAAUGGAUCCCGAAAGAGUUAUGACAGUUUAGACCACGACUUGAGGUUUGCAUUUUCUAUGGUUAUGGGAAGUUGGUUGUGGGUGGCGGAUCUUCUUCUGAAAUGAGUUAAGUGAAAGGUUCUGAGCCGAUGAAGUGUUAAUCAUACUAAUGGUUUAGGGGUUAUGAUGGAAUUUUUGUAACCUCGCAUAGUGGCAUGUUUGGUGUAGUGAGCGGCAUGGAAAUUGGAAGUUGAGGAUCGAGGUUAUAGAUCAGUUUUGAUAAGGAUGUCACGAGCUCGGAGGAGCGGGGGAGGAUUUUAGAUGUUUGGAGUAUGCUGGCACUAUUUUCGGGUAGCCCGAGGAUGGUCUGUUUGUGGAAAAGGGGUUGGGUAUUGAAAUGCAGAUGCAUGGCUAGCACUAUAGAAGUAGUAUGGUCGAUGUCCAUUGAUGUUCAGAUUUUACUACCUGGUGUGGAAGGUUGUGGGAGUAUAUCCCAUGUGAAGAUCGUAUAAGUGUGAAGCGUUAGUCAUUUGAGUGUUAGAGAUUGAAAUCAGGUAUGGAGAUUCUGGUAUUGUCGCUAAUGGGAGAGUUUAUGCCUAAGAGGCGCUCUGUUCCUUUGGCUGUGGACUGUGUGAUUUUGUUCCGGAUUGGAUGACUGCUCGUAUGUGUCAUAAAUAGGGUCAUUGUGGGUCCUUAAAAGGUUAUUGGCCCAGUAUGGGAUGAUCGGAAUCGGCUUGAGGUCUGUUGGUAGGCCUAAUGUGAAUGUAUAUUUUAUACCAGAUCAGAUAUGUUUAUUCGUCAUAACAUCGCUUAUGGAUGGUCUUCAGGCGUGGUGGAUGAUAUUCCUGCCUUCGCCUAUUUCAAGUGCUACUCUUUAUGCUAUGUGGGUUAUGAGACAGCUUGAUUAUCCACACGUGUAUUAAGAUCAUGUAUAGCUUAUGGUGUUAUGUGAGCGAGAUGGCUCUCGAGAUGCAGGUCGUUUAUUGAUGUUACACCCCUUGUUUUUGUAUGUGAAAGUACGUCGUAAGUCAAUUGAUGUAAGCUCAGAAAUGAGAUCCUAUUUGAAAGUAUAUGAAGUGAUUUAAUGUUGUUUCAUCCCGUACUUCAGACGUCACUGUCGUUAUGAUAUUAUCUAAUGUAAGCUCAAAAAGCACGAAAUCCUUCUACAAGGAUAGAAAGGUUUACCGAAGUCUUAAGUAAUUUAAGAUGACUAAGAAACUUGUUAAUCAUAAUUUAAAUAAGUUUAAAGUCAUGAUAUGACUAUAUAUGAUGUUUGUAUAUAAAAUAUAAAGUUUGGAAAAAAUCGGAUUUAAGUUGCGGAAAAAUCGAGCUAAGAUUUGCCUUGUAAUGAGCCGUAUUGAGAAAUUAAAUUCGUAAACUUUAUAAUGUCAUUUUGGGACAUAUAUCACAUAAAAAUAAAGGUAUUUGAACCUAGUUUCCAACGGUCCAAACCAUUUAUUCAUACAAUAUCGGGGUAGAGAAAUAUGGAUUUUUAAAAUAGGAUCGCCAAGUCACGUCGCCGCACUUCGAAGAAACUGGCAGGUUUAUAGGCCAGGUUGCGAGGCCGUUUUCUCCCAAUAUAUUGAGAGUUACAGGGAGAUCUUUAUAUUUAAUUAAAGCCCCAUGUAUAUAGUUUCUAACGCUACAAAUCGUUCGUCAAUUCGAUAUCGGUAUAUAGGAAGCCCCUAUGGGACCCACUUGGUCGGGCCUCAACCUUCACUUAUUCUUAUCUCGUAUUUGGGAUGAACUUUGCUCAUUUUUCGUCCUCUUUAUAGCCGCACACUCUCCAAACCCUCCUAAACAGUUCCCCAAAGGCUCCAAAUAAAUUCCAAAGAAAUACACCAUAAUCAAACAUCAAAGUUAGCCUAAGUGAAGAAAAGAGUCGCUAUGGUACUGUGAUGUGAUUAAGGGUGCUUGUAAGCCAAGGGAAGCUUUGGUUUGAGGUUUUCCAGAUUAUUUAAGGUACGUAUAACACCCUAUUUUUCGGUAUUAAUCUUAUCUAUGUGUUGGUUAAGUUAUUUGGAUGAAGAUUACAAGAUAACACUUGAAAGGGGAAAAGAUGUUGUUAUCUUUUGUUGGGUUGUUUUNNNNNNNNNNNNNNNNNNNNNNNNNGGAAAAUGGUGAAAAUAACUAUAUUAUGAUAUGGUUUCUAUUGUUAUGCAUGUAUAUAUAUUGAUCAAGUGAAUUGAUGAAAGAAACAUAUGAAACUUGAGAUUGCAAGUGAAGAUUAGCUUAAGUCACUUCUAUGGUGUUGUAUUGACAUUGAGGGAUGUUAUAAGAUAAAUGUAACUUGGAUUUCGACGUGAAGCUACUGUAGGAGGUAUGUAUAUUGUGUUCUUGUAUGUGCUUAAGGUUAUCUUGAUAUUGAUUAAGUUAAAUGGAUGGAUUAGACAUGAACUAGUGAAUAAAGUUGCUAAUUGAGGAUAAUUGGAGCUGUGGAUUAUUUUUUUGUUAUAAAUAUAUGGUAUAAGGCUGAAAUAAUUGAUGAAUGACUUCAUUAUCAUGUUAAUAAUACUAUUAAGUUAAAGUAAAAAGUCUAUAAGGGGUGAUAUGGGGUAUACAGAUUCCAAUUGGAGCUUACCGCUCGUUGUGAAGUAGUUGUGGCUUGUUGUUGUUAUAUGGUGUCUUGUUAUUGAUAAUUAUAUAUUUCUAGAUUACUCUGGUCAUUGUUGUUCGUAUAUAGUAUUGGAUUAGGCUCUUGUUACAGGGGAGAUGCUGCCCAAAUUUAUAUAAACAAGCUACUAGUUUAAGUUACGGUCUUAGCCUUUACUCAAUACUGAUUUUGAAUCUCCUUAUGCUAUGGUAGAUUGAGUUGAGUUGUUUGAAGAAUUACUUUGAAGGUAUUAAGGACUCAAUGGAGUUAAGGUAUGUUAAGUCUAUACAUUCUUUCCUUUUGGCAUGAUCCAUAUGAUACGACGAAACGAGCAAGCACGCAGCUUUCACAAAUGAUUCUAUUCCUAGAAGUACUGGGGUUGCCUAUGUUCUUAAUUCCUCAUAUGUCCUACUAUCAUAUCAUCUGUUCAUGGGUCUCAUGAUAUUCUGAGAGAUCUUAUUGACUUACUUCAUUAUGCAUUGCAUUUAUUUAUACAUGUAUAUUUACCCAUGGCCAGAUGGCGUUAUAUACGCGUAUAGUAUAUGUAUAUGAGGUAUGGGGAAAGGUUAUGGCGUUAUAUACGCACCACCAUCUGAUCAGCUGGUAUACGUUGAUGAUUUCUCCCACAGUGGCUGAGAUGAUAUGAUGGGAUGCCCUCAGUAGCUUGAUGAUGUUAUGUAUGUAUGUACCUAUGCAUGGUAUGGCAUUUAUAUGCACAUGCAUGACAUUAUAAAUUUUUCAUGAUUCACAGAGCUAUUCAAAAUUACAGGUUAAGUUCUUUACUCCAUGUUUCUUUCAUGUCUUUUAUAUACUUCUUUCAUGACUUACACACUCCGUACUUUAUUUGUACUGACGUCCCUUUUGCCUGGGGAUACUGCGCUUCAUGCCCGCAGGUCUCGAUAGACAGGUUGAGAGUCCUUCUAGUAGGCUAUUAGCUCAGCAGAAGGUGUUGGUGUACUCCACUUGCUCCGGAGUUACCUAUUUGGUCAGUGUGAUUUGGACAUGUAUUGAUUGGUUAGCGGGGCCCUUUCCCGGCCUUUAUGACGUUUAUGCACUCUUAGAGGUUUGUAGACAUAUCUCAUGUAUAUGGAUACUUAUAUGGCCUUGUCGACCUAUGUUUUGAGUGUACAAAUGAUCAAGUCGGCCUUAUAGGUCACUAUGUCACGUGUAUAAGUUUGUAUUCCAUGUUGGGUCAUCAUAUGUCGUGUAUUUUAUGUUUUAUUCUGGUUAUAUCAUGACCGCCCUUCUGGCCCAUUUACCCAUGAUGGUAUGAUAAGAAAGAUACGUUACGUUGGUGCUCGGUUAGGUAAGGCACCGAGUGCCCGUCGCGGCCCAUCGGUUAGGGUCGUGACAAAAGUGGUAUCAGAGAAGUUCUGUCCUAGGGAGUCUACAAACCGUGUCUAGUAGAGUCUUGUUUAUGGGUGUGUUGUGCACCACAAUUAUAAGUAGGAGGCUACAUGGUAUUUAGGACCGUCACUCUUUUUUCUUACUCUAGAUCAUGUGGUAGAGCUCAGUUGUAAGAAUUCAAACUCCUACAUUCUAUUUUAUUUGUAAUACAAUGAUAUCUACAUCUAGAAAGACAGUUGGUAAGAGAUUGAAUAUGGUUGUGGAAGAGUUGAAUAAGAAGAACUCGAUUUUGCAUCAUGCUUAUGAUGAGUAAAUGUAAGGUCUUCAGCAGAUCAUGUGUGUACUAAAAUGUGUAAGCUUCUUGAUAAGGAACCCUAAGGCAUGAAUAUCUAUCCUCCCCUAUGGUAAAAAGCAACGAGAGAAUCAGAAGGUAGAUACAAGUUUCAAUAAGUAAAAGAAGUAAGGUGAAGAAGGAUACGAGGUACCUAGUUAGUGAAGAUUAUCAGUAUUUACAAUUCAGGCAGAGAAAUAUAAGCAUUCUGAUUUAAUUUCAACAGUAACAGAGUAUAUACACUUGACAACACCCAUCUCAGUUAUGCCCUACGGGGUCUAACAGAUAUAGUUUAAGAGAAGAAUGGGAAAUAGUUCUCCUUGUGAGACACCCACAUGAUGCACUCUAGAGUAGUACAGUCAGAUAUGAAUACUAGAAUGUUCAGAAAUUUUAGAAGAUAGGCAGUGAAAUUCUAGAAGGGAUAAAUAUUUACCUUAAUAUGACUCCCGUCCCUAGUAAAAAAAGAGAGAAUAUUAGGCAUCCCAAAGAGCCAGUGAGAUGAAAAAAGGGGAGCUAAAAGUGAAAGAAUGUUUUGUUGAAGUUUUCAAAAUAAAGUGAUAGACAGAAAUAUUAGUCGGAGAAUAAGAAGAGAGUAAAUGAAGCAUUAUGAGUAAGACGUGAUAAACGGGUGAUACGGUAAAUCAAAAUAUGACAGAAUGACAGAGUGUAUAGUCAAGUUAAGGAAAAGACAAAAGGUGACAGGCCUUGAGACAAUAAAACUGUAUAAGCCAUAAAGUCAUACCCUCAUUUCGAGAAAUGAGUUGGUAACUCAAAAGUGAUCACCAGAAGGCUAAGUUAGACCCUCAGAGUAACAGAAAUCAGUAUGGGCUAGUGAACAAGAUAAAUUGAACAUGAAUUAGAGACCGGAGGAUUUGAUAAUAGUCGACAUCAUGACAAUUUCAGAGACCGCGUUCCGGCAAUAAUAGAAUGGACAAUAGAAGAAUAACUUUUAAAGGUCAUUCAGGAAGACGCUUCCCUAAAAUAAGCACUACGAGCAGAGUUAAGCUUAAUUGACUAAGUGUGCUAGUUAUGUGCGUAAGAAAUUCAGUUAUCCUUGGUACAAAAGGGUUACCGCAAGGCGAGUAAGAGUCUAUGAAGAUGUUAAAAGACGCCAAAGAUGAAGAGGUAAACCAUUUAUAGGUAAAUAUUCAUAGCAUUAAAUAUUAGUACUCCCCUAAAGAGGGGAAGAUGGUGUGAUAUAGUAUUAAGUCGGAGUUAUGUGGUUAAGGUAACUAUGGAAUAGUAAAGGAAAAAUGUGGUAGAAAGGAAAAAGGAAUGAGAUUGCAUUUAUUAAGAUCCUACAGAUAUGAUACGACUCCAGAACAUUAUGUAAGCAUGAUGCCGGGGAGAGGCAGUAAGGGUUCCAACAUUAGAUGUUAUUGAUAAAUAAGUGCAAAUGAACACUUGAUAUAUAAGGAGCCAGUGCGAGAGGUAAGUUCAAACAAAGGACAUAUCCCAAGGGAGAUUACGCGGAAUAUAGAUAUGAGAAUAGACCAACGAGUAGUUAGUAGUUGAUUUACUAAGAGUCUAGUUAUGGCUAGACAAGAGGAUAUGGAUAAAUCAGCAGAUUGUGCAAGAUAAACAGAGUGAAACCCAACAUAGGGAAUUCAGUCUCGCAAAUAUGAUGACAUCAUGAUCCUUGAGAAAUAUUCAGAUAGGAGUUGGGGUUGUUAAAGGUGUCGUAUAAGUGUUACAAAAAUAAAAGACGGUGCCACUGAGAAGACAGUCAAAAAUUUCAGUUCAGAAGCAACCCUACAAGUACGAGGGCGCAUAGGUAAGUAACUAAGGAUAAUUAUAGGCGAGUAAGAACAUAAAAAAUUCCUUCGGGUAUACGAUGUGAUAAGCUCGCAACUUUACAAGAGUCAAAGGGUCUCCCUUAGGUACUACAAAGAAAGACUAGCUGAGGACAUAAGGAAGAAGGCUUCAAAUUAAGCAUAAUAACAUAAAGAAGAAAUAGUCUUGUAACAACAGUCUCACUAUAACAUUGUAUGUACUCCAUAAGAAAGAGGCACCUAUCGUGGCUAAUGAACGGGAAGAAGAAAAAAAAUCAAAAGGUGAUAUUUGAGAUCAUAUGAGUUACAGAAAAUUUCAAUAUUCGUGGGCAAUGAGAUAUGCCAUGUAUUCAUGCAACAAGUGGCAAAAUGAACAGAAAAAAUAAUUGCUUAUGUUUAAAGGCAACUGAGAAGGCACGAAAGGAAAUCUAUGGUGCUAGCAAGUAAAAGGAAAGUUGCGAGUAGUAUGAAUAGAUAUGUGUAGGUCGCAAGCUAAAGUAUCGUAGAGCGACAAGGGUUUAGGUAGAUAGGAGUAAGGAUAAGUAAAGAUGAGUGAGAAUGUGACAAGAAUGGGUAAGGCCUCGGGAUUAAGCACAUCAAAAUAAGAGAGCUGAUGGUUUCCGUAAGUUAUAGAAAGCUCAGUAUAGCCUUAAUAAAUGCAAAGGAGUCUAAGACUAGUAGUAGUUAGAAGAGAUGGAAUGCUGCCUUGGUAGUAGAAUAAGGGUGUAAUGGUGAUAAAUAAUAGGAUGACGUUUAGGCCUUUGAUUGAGUAACAAUUUUGAGAAAAUGGAUUUCAUGAUUUGCACGGGAUUAGAACCCAUAUGAUGAAUUACAUUGGGAUGCUAUGAAAUACGGUUAUUGAAGUAUAGUAUCGUCCCUAGGUGGAUCAGGCAAAUUACUUCAAAUGUUCUCCGAUGAGAUGUGAGCAUUAGUGAUAAUGUAUUAUGUAAGAAGUUUCAAGUUAUCAGUGGUAGAUUAUGGAUCAACAUUAAGGUGAAUCAACAAUGAAUGGAUAAAAGUUACAAAGUAUGAGAUGAGAUUAGGCUGUCAUUCUUAAGAUGAACAGUGAUGAGGAAGAACUAAAGGACUUAGAUUUAUACAUAUAGGAUAAGCAGCGAGAGAGUAACCCGGAGAUGGGUAGCAGACCUAGGUAGUAAUAAAUCGAAGUAAGUGUUAUGGUAUAAUAUAACCUAACUAGAUGUAGUAAAGCCAUAAGCAUAUAUAACCGAGUCUAUGAAACGAAAUAUAGCAAUAGUUAUAAGUUCGGCAAAGUACCAAGCAAAGAACUUCAGUACGCCUAUAUAUGCCCCGAGGGACAUCUUGUCAUAAUUCUGUAUAUGUUCACAAAGUGAGGCCAAGAGAUUGGCAAAAAUUAGGAGGAAAAAGGAGAGAAGAUCCACGCAUAAAAGGACAGAGUCAUACAUGCUUCAUCACAGAAUGUAGUUAAAGUUACGAGAUUGGAAGAAUUCCGACCACAAGUCGUGAUGUGGGAAGAGGCCUAAAAGGGGGAAUGCCUUGGUCUUUGAAUUUAUUCACAGAACAAUUGCCUAGAUGGUAAGGACAAUAUUAAAUUAUUCACAAGAUCUAUAGGUUAUGAUACUGAUAAGCACAUCAGUCAACAUUCGAGGACGAAUGUUCCAAAGGGGGGAAUGAUGUUACACCCCAUAUUUUUGUACGUGAAAGUACGACGUAAGUCAAUUGAUGUAAGCUCGAAAAUGAGAUCCGCUUUGAAAGUAUAUGAAGUGAUUUAAUGUUGUUACACCCCAUAUUUCAGACGUCACUGUCAUUAUAGGAUUAUCUAAUGUAAGCUCAAAAAGGACGAAAUCCUUCUACAAGAAUAAGAAAGGUUUACCAAAGUCUUAAGUAAGUUAAGAUGAAUAAGAGACCUGUUAAUCACAAUUUAAAUAAUUUUAAAGUCAUAAUAUGACUAUAUAUGAUGUUUAUAUAUAAAAUAUAAAGUUUGGAAAAAAUCGGAUUUAAGUUGCGGAAAAAUCGAGCUAAGAUUUGCCUUGUCACGAGCCGUUUUGAGAAAUUAAAUUUGUAAGCUUUAUGAUGUCAUUUUGAGAAAUAUAUCAUAUCAAAAUGAAGCUAUUUGAACCUAGUUUCCAAUGGUCGAAACCAUUUAUUCAUACGAUAUCGGGGUAGAUAAAUAUAGAUUUUUAAAGUAGGGUCGCCAAGUCACGUCGUCGCACUUCGGAGAAACUGGCAGGUUUAUAAGCCAGGUUGCGAGGCAGUUUUCUCCAAAUAUAUUGAGAGUUAUAGGGAUAUCUUUAUAGGUAAUUAAAGCCCCAUUUAUCUAGUUGCUAACACUGCAAACCGUUCAUCAAUACGACAUCGGUGUAGAGAUAUAUUUGCGUUUUUGCGAGACUGCGUAGGAUGCCUCUAUGGGACCCACUUGGUCGGGGCCCGACCUUCACUUAUUCUUAUCUCAUUUUUGGAAUGAGAUUUGAUCAUUUUUUUCCUACUUCCAGCCUCACACUCUCCAAACCCUCGCAAAUAGUUCCCCAAAGGCUCCAAAUAAAUUUCAAAGAAAUAUACGAUAGUCAAAUAUCAAAGUUAGCCUAAGUGAAGAAGAUAGUCUCUAUGGUGUUGUGAUGUGAUUAAGGAUGCUUGUAAUCUAAGGGGAGAUUUGGUUCAAGGUUUUCUAGAUUAUUUAAGUUAUCUAUAACACCCUAUUUCUCGGGAUUAAUCUUAUCUAUGUGUUGGUUAAGUUCUUUGGAUGAAGAUUACAAGAUAACACUUAAAAGGGGAAGAGAUGUUGUUAUCUUUUGUUGGGUUGUUUUAAGGCUAUAUAUAUAGGUUGUUAUGGAUGGAAAAUGGUGAAAAUAACUUUAUUAUGAUAUGGUUUCUGUUGUUAUACAUGUAUAUAUAUUGAACAAGUGAAUUGAUAAAAGAAACAUAUGAAACUUGAGAUUUCAAGUGAAGAUUAGCUUAAGUCACUUCUAUGGUGUUGUAUUGACAUUGAGGGAUGUUAUAAGAGAAAUGUAACUUGGAUUUCAACUUGAAGCUAUUGUAGGAGGUAUUUAUAUUGUGUUCUUGUAUGUGCUUAAGGUUAUCUUGACAUUUAUUAAGUUAAAUGCAUGGACUAGACAUGAACUAGUGAAUAAAGUUGCUAAUUGAGGAUAAUUAGAGUUGUGGAUUAUUUUUUUGUUAUAACUAUGUGGUAUAAGGCUGGAAUCAUUGAUGAAUGAAUUCAUUAUCAUGUUAAUGAUACUAUUAAGUUAAAUUAAGAAGUCUAUAAGGGGUGAUAUGGGGUAUACAGAUUCCAAUAGGAGCUUACCGCUCAUCGUGAAGUAGUUGUGGCUUGUUGUCGUUAUAUGGUGUCUUGUUAUUGAUAAUUAUAUAUUGCUAGAUUACUCUGGUCAUUGUUGUUGGUAUAUAGUAUUGGAUUAGGCUCUUGUUACAGGGGAGAUGCUGCCCAAAUAUAUAUAAACAAGCUACUAGUUUAAGUUACGGACUUAGCCUUUACUCAACACUGAUUUUGAAUCUCAUUAUGCUAUGGUAGAUUGAGUUGAGUUGUUUGAAGAAUUGUUGAUUUAAGGUAUGUUAAGGCUAUCAAUUCUUUCCUUUUGGCAUGAUCCACAUGAUACGACGAAAUGAGCAAGCACGCAACUUUCACAAAUGAUUAUAUUCCUAGAAGUACUAGCGUUGCCUAUGUUNNNNNNNNNNNNNNNNNNNNNNNNNNNNNNNNNNNNNNNNNNNNNNNNNNNNNNNNNNNNNNNNNNNNNNNNNNNNNNNNNNNNNNNNNNNNNNNNNNNNNNNNNNNNNNNNNNNNNNNNNNNNNNNNNNNNNNNNNNNNNNNNNNNNNNNNNNNNNNNNNNNNNNNNNNNNNNNNNNNNNNNNNNNNNNNNNNNNNNNNNNNNNNGCGUUAUAUACGCGUAUAGUAUAUGUAUAUGAGGUAUGGGGAAAGGUUAUGGCGUUAUAUAUGCACCACCACCUGAUCAGCUGGUAUAUGUUGAUGAUUUCUCCCACAGUGGCUGAGAUGAUAUGAUGGGAUGCCCUUAUAGUCUUGAUGAUAUUAUGUACGCAUAUACUUAUGCACGAUAUGACAUAUAUGCGCACAUGCAUGACAUUAUAAAAUUUUCAUGAUUCACAGAGCUAUUCAGAAUUAUAGGUUGAGUGCUUUACUCCAUGUUUCUUUCAUGUCUUUUAUAUACUGCUUUCAUGCCUUACAUGCUCGAUACUUUAUUUGUACUGACGUCCCUUUUGCCUGGGGAUACUGCGUUUCAUGCUCGCAGGUCCCGAUAGACAGGUUGAGAGUCUUUAUAGUAGGUUAUCAGCUCAGCGGAAGGUGUUGGUAUACUCCACUUGCUCUGGAGUUACCUAUUUGGUCAGUAUGAUUUGGACAUGUAUUGAUUGGUAUGGCGGGGCCCUGUCCCGACCUUUAUGAUAUUUAUACACUCUUAGAGGCUGGUAGACAUAUCUCAUGUAUAUGGAUACUUGUAUGGCCUUUUCGGCCUAUGUUUUGAUUGUAAAAAUGAUCAAGUCGGUCUUAUAGGCCCGUAUGUCAUAUGUAUAAGUUUGUAUUCCAUGUUGGGUCGUCCUAUGUGGAGUAUCCCCUUAUAUUUUAUUCUGGUUAUAUCAUGACGGCCCUUCUAGACCAUUUACCCAUGAUGGUAUGAUAAGAAAGAUAUGUUACGUUGGUGCUCGGUUAGGUAAGGCACCGGGUGCCCGUCGUGGCCUAUCGGUUUAGGUCGUGACCAUUACACCUUAGUCGUGCUUAGCAUUUUGUAGCGCAUGGUGCUAUCUGUCUCCCCAGAGUUGUGUUUAUGCAUUUGGCAUAAUUGUGGUCAAUAUUCGGGCAUUUCAUGGGUAUGAGCAUUUUGGCUCAAUGGGUAUUACCUUAUUGAUUAUUAUGUGCGGAUCGGGUGGCACGUCGCCACGGGUAUGAUGUGUAGAUUGGGUUGCAUGCUGCAACAGUGAGAUGUUGAGUACAAAUCUUUAUACUUAUUUUGUGUGUUUUGUUUUUCAUCUCUGAGAUAGGUUCAUAGCAUUAGUUUGGUUGUUUUUCUUCAUUGCGCAGACCGGAUAGUCUUGUAUUCGGGUUCAUUAUUCCUUAUUGGUCAUAUUCGAGUUGUGUCUUUUUGGCUCCUUUAUGGGGUCGUAUGAGAUUUUAGACGGUGUUUGAGGUGGCUUAUUGCUCGAGCAGCUUGUAUUGGGCGAGACAAGGUUGUUGGACCUGGAAUUAGUGCAAUCAGAUUUGUAUAAUGUAUAUUAGAGGGAAAAUGUCACUAAUCAGUUCAGAAUGAGGCAAUAUUUCUCGCCAAGCAGAGAGACUUUAUGAGUUAUUGAUUUUGCAGAUGGGUAUGAGUUUCUACACAUCUCUUUCUUUUUUGCAGUAUUGUGAGGGUUGGAACAUGGCUUAUAUGCGCUAUGAGGUAUAUUAUGGGCAUCAGGUUCAUGAAUUUGCAGCUAUUGUGGUUGGAGGAUGUUAUUAUGAGCAUACGAAUUAUGGGGUGCAUUGCGCGAAUUCAGCAUGGGUGCAUGAUCAUAUUUUGGUGCAGCGUGUUGAGAUUGAUACGGCGUGCAUAUUUUAGAAUUAGGCCUGUUAGAGAAUUUAGGAUGUUGGAAUUUUGUUCUAAGGCUAGUGGGCUAAGAUAGCAGGAAGGAUCUUCAGUCUGGCUUGAGUUAAUGUGCUCAUAUGGAUUAUGGCAGCACGGGUAGGUGCACGAGGUGUUAAGCAGUGAUUUUGAGCAACUCUGGAACGGUUCUUGGCACGUUCGAGGACGAACGUAUGUUUAAGUUGGGGAGAAUGUAACGACCCGACCAAUCAUUUUGAUAUCUAGUAUGUUAUUCGGCGGUUUGAGACCUUGAGUAGCUUCACUUCAUGUUUUAUGACUUGUACGCGUAGUUGGAAUUGAAUUUCGGGAAAGUUCGGAGUUGAUUCAAAAGGAAAAUUCUCAAUUCGCAAGUUUUAAGUUGGAAGAGUUGACCAAGGUUUGACUUUUGAGUAAACAACCUCGAAAUUGGGAUUUGAAGGUUCCAAUAGGUUCGUAUGAUAAUUUCGGACUUGGACGUAUGUUCGGGUUGAGUAUCAGGUGGUCAGGGAGCAUUUCAGUGCUUAUUGUAGAAAGUUUGGCAUUUUGAUAGUUUUUAGAAUUUCCUAAGUUUGGUUUGAAGAGGACUUUGGUGUUAUCGAGGUCCGUUUAGGGUUCCGAGCCUUGGAAUAAGUUCGUAUUAUGAUUUGUGACUUGCACGUAAAGCUUGGCAUCAUUCCGGAAUGUCUAGAUAUGGUUCAGACGCGUUCGUCGAAGUUUGAAUGUUUUAAAGUUGAGAGAAUGAUUUUAUCGUCGAUUCAUAGUUUUGAGGGUUUUUUUACGUGAUUUGAGGCUUUGACUGAGUUUGUAUCAUAUUUUAGGAUGCGUUGGUAUGGUUGAGUGGGGUCCCGAAAGCCUCGGGUAUUUUUCGGACGUGUUUGGGUUGUGUCGCGCUCUUAUUUGAUGUUUUAGCGUCGUUUCUUUGGGCAUAAAGGGUACUGUAUUAAGCAAACGACAUUUGAUUUAGGAUUAGAUUAAACCAUUAGAUCCGUAUCGUAAUUACGGAACCAUAGCAACAAGAAUCGUCAAAUUCCAAGGUCGGAUGAGAGAGUUAUGCCCAUUUCUGUGUCGGAAAAGAUUGUUGGUUUCGGGUGCGAACUUUUGUUCUUCGCGAACGCGAGAGAGGUUCCGCGAACGCGAAGAUGAAUUUCUGGGUUGACCGGUCAACGAAAAAAAUUGCUCUUAGAGAAACACGAAGGUCUCCCGCAAAGGCGAUUAACAAAAAUCAUCUCAGCAGUAUUUUAAACCGAGCAUUUUAGUAUUUUGAGCAUAUCUUGAGUUUUAGAGCUCCGUUUGAGGUGAUUUUUGUGGCGUUGUUCUCAUAUCAAUAAGAGGGUAAAUAUCUGACCUUUAUUUUGAUUUUUUUUCCAUGAUUAUUUUCGUUGAUUAGUAUUUUUAUCUGUUUUGGAUGGUAGAAAUUGAGGAUUGAGCCGCAAAGUUGAGAAAUAGUAAAUCCUUGAUUUGAGGGUCAAUUCGUGGAUGAAAUUAGAUAAUUUUUUUGGAUAUAUACUCUAUAAGUUAAGGAUAAUAUUUAUUUUUGAUAAGUUUUGGAAUCCGGGCACGGGCAUUGACCUUGUUGACUUUUCACGCGGAGUUGAGAAUUAUUACAAAUUGUUAAAUUAUGAGUAUUGCAGUAUAUUUUGAUUGGUUUGCACGUUGUUUGAUUAGUUUCGGAUCGUUUGGCAUCGGUUUGAAGAGUUAGAGAAGCGUUGGAGUUAGUUAUCGGAUUUCAGAGUGAGGUAAGUCUCCUGUCUAACCUUGUAAGGGGGAAUUUACCCCGUAGGUGUUAUACUUGCUAUGUUCUACAUAUUGUGGGGGCUACACACGUAUGAAGUGACGACUGUCCGUGCGUAUACUGGAAUUCAUGAUUAGGUUCGGGUAAACUUAGAUUUACGCCAUGCUUUAAUUAUAAUAUUUGAGUUAUUUCUGCAUGUUUAAUUGCUUUAAUUUACAUUUAGCCUGAGUCUCGCGUAGAAUAUCGGACUUGCUAUUUUAGAUACUUGACGAGCUACUUGAUUAGCCGUGAAAAAUUGUGCUUCCCUUACGAAUUUCAUCCGCGUUGUGCGUAUUGAACAAAAAGUUUCCUUAAAUUUCAUAACUCAUGUGUAUAUUCGUGAGUGGGGUCAAGGACCCGUUAAAGCUUCUUAUUCUAAUGGGGUCGGGUCGUUCGCCUCGGCAGGAUUAUUGUAAUACACUCUUAUGGGAUCGGGUCGUUCACCUCAGCAGGAUUAUGGUAUUUCACUCUUAUGGAAUUGGGUCGUUCACCUCGGCAGGAUAUUGUAACACACUCUUAUGGGAUCGGGUCGUUCGCCUCGGCAGUUCUAUGAAAUACUCCUAUGGGAUCGGGCCGCUCGCCUCGGUAGAAUCGUGCGAAAUACUUGAUAAAGAGUCCGGGUACUCAUGAGUUUUCCUGACUUGAGAUGGGACCGUUGACUUGGUGUUGACCAUUAUGUAUUCUAUUUGAGGAGGUAUCUGAUGUUUGAGGACUUUGUGUUCACUGUUCAGUCGUAGACCGUAUUAUUUACCUAUAUAUGUUCUUACUGUUUACUUACCAUGUUUCAUACUUAUCUACUUUACUAUAUUUGACUUAUUGGACCACUAGUAAGUGUUAAUAUCGACCCCUCGUCACUACUUCUUCGGGGUUAGGCUAGAUACUUACUGGGUACGCGUUGAUUUUCGUACUCAUGCUACACUUCUGCACUAAAUGUGCAGUAUUUGACAGGUUCAUUUGGUGGUCAUCUUGGCGCGUAGGCGCAAUUGCUGAGGGAACUUAAUGGUGAGCUGCUUUCUAUGCUACGUACCUCAGGCCACAGAGCCUCCAUCAUAUUUAUUUACUUUAUCAUGUCUAUUUUACAUUCCAAACAGAUGUUGUACUAUUAUUGCACUCCUUAGAAGACGCUCAUGUACUUUUGACACCGGGUUUUGGGAUAUUCUAGUUGAUGUUUAUCGAUUUGCAUAAUAUUGUCAUCUUUUAUUUUCAUAUCUUGCUAACUAUGUAUGUACCUAUGAUUUUCAAUGUGUAAAUCCCUUUUACUUAAUAAAACCUAUGAUUUCAAAGUAAUAAAAUAAAUAAUUAUUUAGAUGGUUCACCGUUGACUUGUUUAACGGCGACAUUGGGUGCCAUCACGAUCUAUAGGGGGUUUUGGGUCGUGACAUAAACUAUCAUUACUAUGCUGUACAAGAGUAAAUGACAUUACAAGUAGCGCAUGCAUAGACAACAUCACUAUCUUUUUUUUUUCUUUUGGUUUCUCAUACCGUGGUCAAUGACCGGUACUGAGGUCCGAUUAAUUUGAAUUUAUAUCGCAUAAGAUCCAUUAAAUGGGGAGGUGCUUCGUACCUGAAGUUCUUCCCAUUAAUAUACACACAGAAUAGGUUUAUACAUGUUGUCAUAACAAAAUAGCGGUUGUAGAAAUAAUCUAAGUCCACUAAAUUAAAAUUUUGAAUUUUGCCUCCCACAAGAAAAAUGAUACCUUAAUCAUGAAGCUAUAUAUUUACAACCAUUGUACUCUUUGAAAUGACCCACCAACAAGAAUAUUAAUGAAAAAAAGCUGGCUUUGACAGUUCCCACAAUCGCAUGAUAUUGGCAUAUACUGUGGAUUUUCCUAUGUCAUGUCUCUGCUGUCUAUUUAGCCAAUGGUGCAAAGUGCAGUGGUAUAACAAGUUGUUCGAUUUUUGUUGGAACUUAAUUUAUCAACACGAUCACUAAAGAUUGUGGUGGUAUGUACAUUACUCAUCUAUGCUUAAUAAGAGAUUUCCAUUUCGAGCUUGCAAAAUUUAAAAAAAAAAAAAAACUUAAGUGGAAGCACUUCUUCCUUUAAAAUUUUUUACUCAACCCGAAUUCGAAUUAAUCGGAGUAUAAUGCAAUAAAAAAGAAUUUAUGGACACGGAAGAAUUUAGCAGGUACUAAAAGUGCAUUUAUUAUGAGCACCAACACAAUACAGCUAUAUUUUCUUCAGUUGUAAGGCACUUGGCAUGUGAUCUACCUGACCAUUAUCUGCCAUAUUCAUUCUACUAAUGCCUACACCUACUGCUAUUCGAUCUUUUCCUUCUUUAAUUGUUUUAGCUGCAGAGUACGAAUUUAGCUGGCUUUUUUUCUUUGAAGAUUAAACAAGAAAAACUUGGUACUAGUAUGUAGGUUGUUGUGUAUUGAAUGGUUGGUUUAAAUACCAUCUCCUCUUUCUUAUUAUUUUGGAUGUUAGUAUCUUUCUGGUUUAGAUCAGCAGUAAAUUACCUUGCUCGAACUAGCCGGCCAAUUAUAACACAGUGAUAUUUGCAGUUCCCAGCUCAGACUGGCAGUUGAAGUAUUUAUACCCACGAAAUAAUAUCGUUUACCAAGGGAAAAAAGCCAAUGAAAAAGCAUAAAAAGGAAAAAAGAACAAUUUUAUAACAUAAACAGAGAGAAACAUAGAUCCAAUAAUACUAUUUCUCAAAUAUAUUUACAAUAGUAGCUGUUAGUACAUUUUUCUUCCUAAAAUAAUAAUGGUAGCUUAAAUCAUCAUCUAACAAAUUAAAUAAUAAAUCCGAAGACAAAAAAGAAUAAUUAAGAAGAAAAAUGAAAGAAAUCUAGUUCAAAAAUUACUCAUCCAGCCUGUUGAGAAGAAGCUGCAAUACACACUAUAUUUUAGUAACAUGGACUUCGGCCUGAUUCAACUCCAAAAACUAUCGUAUGAGCUGCUGAUAAUUGUCCAAAACCAUAUAAUAAUGUUACGUUUCAUUCUCUUAACCAAUGUGAGACUCAAACACGAUAUUAAUUUCAUCGGUAAGAGCGGAGAAUGGCACCGCAGAAUGUACAGAUAAUAGCUUUCCAGUUUUUCCAGUAAAAAGGUACAUAGCAAAACCUAGUAGCAGUUUUCAUAUCAGCAACACUUGCUCCACCACCGCACCGGGAACAUGUUCCGGCCGCUGGUUUGCUCUUACACACCUGCUUUGUUUGAUCAACUAAGAAACAGAAGCAAACCAUUUUUUUGUCGCUUAUAUUGAUGUUUAGAACGGAGAGAAAUUCAGUGGGGUAUUUGGGGUAGUUAGAUGUUUUGGUUGUGAGGUUUCAUUACUGGGAAAAGUUGAAGGUAUUUAUAGGCGUGAAACUGAGAAGUAACAGUAAAAGUUUAAGCAGAGACAGUUGGGACCUCACUAUGGCGCAUUGCUGACUUUUCACAGAAGCAAUAAGGAUAAUCAUUUUUUAAUCUUUGGUCAAC
rnacentral:lncRNA from 1 species